GCCUGAGUGACACUGUGUUGACAAUCUGGGACUGUCCCUCAGAAAUCUACACUUAUCAGGACUUUCUUUCUCUGUCUGCUUCUCUGUUUCUGUCUCUUCCUUUCUCUGUCUCUGUCCAUCUGUCAGUCUCUUUCUCUUUGUGUGUCUCUGUUUGUCUUUCUGUUUCUCUUCGUGUCUCUAUCUGUCUCUGUUUGUCUCUAUGUGUCUCUGGCUCUCUUUCUCCCUUUGUCCAGUAGUCAGUCUCUCUCUCUCUCUCUCAUUCUCUCUCUCUCUCUCUCUCUCUCUCUCUCUCUCUCUCUCUCUCUCUCCCUCUCUCUCACUCUCUCUUUUUCUCUCUCUGUCUCUUUGUCUCUGUCUCUUCUCCCCUCUCUCUUUCUUCCUCUCUGUCUCUGUUUCACUCAGUGUCUCUGUGUAUCCUUCUGUCUGUCUGUCUCUGUUUCUUUUUGUCUCUAUCUCUUUUUCCCCCUCUCUCCCUCUGUUCAGCAGUCCAUCCAUCUGUCUGUCUAUUGUAUUUAAAGAUAAUGAUCCUGAUAUUGUUCAGUUCAAUGGGAGUCAGUAUGAGUCAGAGGACCUGGAUUCCAAUCCUCUUAUCCAUAGUGCCUAUGGUUUUAGGCAUCUAUUUAUUGUGAGAGCCAAAUAAAUAACUCAACCUAUGCCACCACGCCCAACUUCCCAGGCAAUACCUAUUGUGGUUUGCAGAAGUUCCUCAAUCAAUAAGUUGAGAUAUUUGCUGCUGGCCAUUAAUGAAG
rnacentral:lncRNA from 1 species